rnacentral:lncRNA from 1 species
GAGAUUCAAUUUCCUCUUCUAAUCUCUUCUUCAAGCUCUCAACAACAAACUGCCUCUCUGAGACAGGAUUGUUUGCGUUUACUUCCUCUCCUCUUUCAUGUUCUGCUUCAUCAGGCCCUCUCCGCAUUAAAUGCUUCUGGUACCAUUCCUCAAAUGCUUGUUUCUUCUUGAAGUAUUCCUUUCUGGUUUCCUCACAUCGCUCCUUUAACUUCAUCUCUUCCUCCUGCUGAAGUAUGAUUGUCUUUAUCACGGCAACAAAGGAGGAAAUAGCAGAUUUGGCAAGCUCAUCAGGAAGCUUGUCAACAUAAUCAUGCCAUGCAUGGAGAAGGGCUUGGAUUGGUGGAUUCUGUGCCUUUGGAGGGGAUGAGAUUUUCUCUUUU